CAACCGCAGAAUGAAUGUAAAUUUGUCAUGACUGGCUAGGCAGACCCAGAUGCUGGAACCCGGAAUGAUGACAGGAGGUGAGUUAUGGCAAGAAGUGGGUUUAUUGAUUCAGCUGGUGAUGUAAUCUUGGUAUGGCAGGGAGGCGACGUGGCUGGAGGGAGUCCGGGGAUCUGAACACCAGACGAGGACAGGAGGUACCGCCGGACCGUGGCGUGAGACGUGGCUUGAUGUUCGACCAAAGGCUCCACUGAGAAGUUUCAGAGGGACGCACCUUCAGAAGGUCAUCGAGGAGCAGGCGAUGGGAAGGUUAACCAAGGAGAUUUGUAGAUGAGUGAUAUAUAUCAUCGCUUUGGAGUCUGCAACACAUCAUUGCAGAAAGGAAGUCCUUUUGUCCUGAUGAAGGCUAUGGAGAGGAUCAUCCUCAGCCAUCUCCGCACUCAGGUGAGCUCAGCACUGGACCCGCUGCUGUUUGCAUAUCGACGAG